rnacentral:rRNA from 1 species
UACGUAGGGGGCAAGCGUUGUCCGGAAUCAUUGGGCGUAAAGAGCGUGUAGGCGGCUUGGUAAGUCUGCUCUGAGAGCCCGGGGCUCAACCCCGGGAGGCGGGUGGAUACUGUCAAGCUCGAGUCCGGAAGAGGAGUGUGGAAUUCCUGGUGUAGCGGUGAAAUGCGCAGAUAUCAGGAGGAACACCAAUGGCGAAGGCAGCACUCUGGGACGUGACUGACGCUGAGACGCGAAAGCGUGGGGAGCAAACAGG